GAUGAACGCUAGCGGCAGGCUUAACACAUGCAAGUCGAGGGGUAUAGUUCUUCGGAACUAGAGACCGGCGCACGGGUGCGUAACGCGUAUGCAAUCUACCUUUUACAGAGGGAUAGCCCAGAGAAAUUUUGGAUUAAUACCUCAUAGUAUGUGAGAACUCGCAUGGUUUUUCACAUUAAAGUUCCAACGGUAAAAGAGUGAGCAUGCGUCCCAUUAGCUAGAUGGUAAGGUAACGGCUUACCAUGGCGACGAUGGGUAGGGGUCCUGAGAGGGAGAUCCCCCACACUGGUACUGAGACACGGACCAGACUCCUACGGGAGGCAGCAGUGAGGAAUAUUGGACAAUGGGCGCAAGCCUGAUCCAGCCAUGCCGCGUGCAGGAAG
rnacentral:rRNA from 1 species